rnacentral:lncRNA from 1 species
AAUGGCGUAAAGACGUUUACGCGGUCGAAGGGGAGUUGGAGAAGAGGACAGUAACCCACAAGGAACGUUCUGUCUCAUAAGCGUGGUGCGUUGCACUUAAAUAUAGUCGGUGCAUAGAGAGGAAGAUAGAGAAAAGUUCAGGCAUACGUAUAUGCGUACGUACCGUUGCGGUGGAAGAAAGAUAGAAAAAAAGUGCGACGCGGCGUUCGUUCUUCUCGUCGUCCUAUUAUUCUCUUUUAGCACAACGGGCUCCCUGCUUGUUUGGAAGUAGUACACUCACGGAUUCGAACGGUCGACAUUAUAAUAGUACGUUUCUUUCGUGGGCUGUUUCCUACGUCGGAAACGUUUCUUGGAUCUUUCGUUUAAAAUUCAAUAAUAGGAAGUCCCCUUAAGAUAUUUUUGUUUCGUGUUACAUCAAGCGAAGUUUUGUACGAUGCAGGAUGUAAAAUGCAGAAUAAGUCCGUAACUGUCCGACGUCAUUGUUUGACCAGCUUUUAACACGUUCAACUAGGCUUGAGCCGCUGAUGGUUUAAAGUGCUGUGUCGGCGCAAGACACCGUGGUGCCUCAAAACAGAAUUGUACGUUUUUAACACUUUGGACCGUGUGUCCUGUAACUGUGCUGCGUUAGUGUUGGUUUUGUAUUACAGCUGGGAGAACGGUUAAAAACUCUGUUGACAGAUGGAAACAAAUUUCUUUUUUAAAACAGAAAUACUCAAAUUAGUGAUAAAAUUAACUUUCGUGCAAUGGAAUCCGAAUAAUGAUUUCGUAAAAUGUAUAUGAAUUCCGGAGAAUGUAGUAUACAAAGUUUUGUAGAAAGUACAACAUAAAAAAUGUGAAGCAUCGAAAUUCUUCGCUUGGAAAAGUGAAUAUAAAUACAUAUGUAGUAUGAAACACUACGAAACAUUAUGAAAAUAUGUAUA